CAGUCGCCGCGGUAAUACGAGGGGGGCAAGCGUUGUUCGGAAUUAUUGGGCGUAAAGGGCGCGUAGGCGGUUUGACAAGUCUGAUGUGAAAUCUCUGGGCUCAACCCAGAGUCUGCAUCGGAAACUGUCGAGCUUGAGUAUGGGAGAGGUGAGUGGAAUUUCCGGUGUAGUGGUGAAAUGCGUAGAUAUCGGAAGGAACACCUGUGGCGAAAGCGGCUCACUGGACCAUUACUGACGCUGAGGCGCGAAAGCUAGGGGAGCAAACAGGAUUAGAUACCCCCGUAGUCCCUGUCUCUUAUAC
rnacentral:rRNA from 1 species